GGGGGUAACGCAAAGACUCGCAGAGAUCGCCACGGAAAUACCCGCCCGUGAGACGCAUCUGGAGGAGAGUGUUCACAGCGGCUGAGGUCUCAUUGGGUUCCUAGCCCCUGCUCACCGCCCUGCUGGCCGGGGCAUUCUGGCGCCCGAGCGUGGGGCAAAGAAGCCUUCUGGACCUAGAAACUCCGCUGAUCGAGGGGGUAGGCCUACCCGAAUUCACUGAGUCACCACGGCCGAGGGGGUAACGCAAAGACUCGCAGAGAUCACCAUGGAGAUACCCGACCGUGAGACGCAUCUGGAGGAGAGUGUUCACAGCGGCUGAGAAAAACAACUCAACAAUUUGAAGAUGGCUCCAAAGAAGUCCAGCCGUGUGAUACUUCCUUGUCUUCUCUACUUGCCCCUAUUAUUGGCCAUUCCCACACAUGCAGCUCUUGUUUAUCAGUGGGAAUUUCAGGUUAGAGAGACACAAACUAAGGACUCACACACCACAGUCCGAAACAUUGGCAUGGCAUGCUGUCCUCCUAAAGGUUGCCGGGAGACUGUUGUUAUUAAUAUUUCUCCCAAAACUAUAUCUAGCACCUAUCGGCAUUAUGCCUGCUUUCCCUUUGAUAAUAAAGACAGGAGCGGAUGCCUUACUGAUGUCUCCACUUAUGGAGGCUGCCGCUACUGGUCCUGCAUUAUUCAUGAUGCCCACUCGCCAAAAACCCGCACUGGAAAGCCCAGUAUUCUCAGAUUACAAGGGUCCCAGUUUACUAUUCAGAUUUCUGAUCCUUUGAAUACCCGCUGGCAAGAGGGAGUUAUAGGUAAAUUAUAUAAUGAUGGAUAUUCCAGAUAUCCUACUGGAACUAUACACAUCUCCCGACAAUUGGUGUUGGCUGAGCACAGAGAACAAGUAAAUCAAGUCAUUAUAGAAACAGAAAAUAAGCUCCAUUCGGUUUUCCAAACAAAUUCGGCCAUGGAAGUCACUAAAAAAUGGGCUAACUGGCCCCUUUAUCUUCAAUAUGCAAUUAAUCUUUUAAAUUAUUCUCAGAUUGUUCUCAACACUUCUCGUUGCUUGCUGUGUGCAUCCCUUUCACGACCCAUUAUCGCAGCAGCACCUUUAAACAA